rnacentral:rRNA from 1 species
AUUGAACGCUGGCGGCAUGCCUUACACAUGCAAGUCGAACGGCAGCGGACCUUCGGGUGCCGGCGAGUGGCGAACGGGUGAGUAAAGUAUCGGAACGUACCUUUCAGUGGGGGAUAACGUAGCGAAAGUUACGCUAAUACCGCAUAUUCUGUGAGCAGGAAAGCAGGGGAUCGCAAGACCUUGCGCUGAUUGAGCGGCCGAUAUCAGAUUAGCUAGUUGGUGAGGUAAAGGCUCACCAAGGCGACGAUCUGUAGCGGGUCUGAGAGGAUGAUCCGCCACACUGGAACUGAGACACGGUCCAGACUCCUACGGGAGGCAGCAGUGGGGAAUUUUGGACAAUGGGGGCAACCCUGAUCCAGCCAUGCCGCGUGAGUGAAGAAGGCCUUCGGGUUGUAAAGUUCUUUCGGCCGGGAAGAAAUCGCACAGGCUAAUACCCUGUGUGGAUGACGGUACCGGAAUAAGAAGCACCGGCUAACUACGUGCCAGCAGCCGCCGUAACAC